UUGAAACACCGGUUACCAUAAGAUCACCAAAGUUAAGCAACGUCGAGUCUGGUCAGUACCUGUAUGGAUGACCGCUUAGGAAUACUAGGUGCUGUGA